AUUGAACGCUGGCGGCAUGCCUUACACAUGCAAGUCGAACGGCAGCACGGGAGCCUGCUCCUGGUGGCGAGUGGCGAACGGGUGAGUAAUACAUCGGAACGUACCCUGAAGUGGGGGAUAACGUAGCGAAAGUUACGCUAAUACCGCAUAUUCUGUGAGCAGGAAAGAGGGGGAUCGCAAGACCUCUUGCUUUAGGAGCGGCCGAUGUCGGAUUAGCUAGUUGGUGAGGUAAAGGCUCACCAAGGCGACGAUCCGUAGCGGGUCUGAGAGGAUGAUCCGCCACACUGGGACUGAGACACGGCCCAGACUCCUACGGGAGGCAGCAGUGGGGAAUUUUGGACAAUGGGCGCAAGCCUGAUCCAGCCAUGCCGCGUGAGUGAAG
rnacentral:rRNA from 1 species